ensembl:lncRNA
AUGCAAUAUCUUCCACAGUUUUGCUUCUCAGGGUAUUUUGCUAGAAAACAAGACAAGAGUUUUAACUUGAUAUCUGCUUGUGUUCUUCUCUGUUUCCAGAUGAGCAGCCUGCUCUAUCUCUCUCCAGAGCAGCUGGUCGGGCUGAUGUUUGAUGAUGUUCCUGGUCUUCCAGAGAAAAGUGUGGUCAUCAGUGCAGUGUUCGAUCACCUGACCGCGUCUCCACAGAGAGAGAGGAUCGUCUCCACGCUUCCCAUCAUGGUGGAGUCAUCAAAGAUGAGGAACGUCUCCUGCGCCUCAUAUCAGAUCAUCUUCCACCGUCUGGAUCAUCUGAUGGUCAGCGUGCCGGUGGAUCUGGAGUCAGUGAUUGUGAGGACUAAAUCAGCUCUUCUUCAGAACGUGCCGCAGGGUGAGACCAGAGCACUUUCACUCUCAGGAGACGUUUAA